rnacentral:lncRNA from 1 species
UGGAGCUCCUGGACUCGCUCCUGAAACUCCACCAUUUGCUACUCCUAUUGAAGAGAAGACUCCUUUUGGACAAGACCAACAGCAACAACCUCAACUGGGUGACUCACAACAGGGCCUGACCCAACCUCUCUCGGCCGUUAAUCAGCCUUUUUCGACAUUGAACCAGCCUCUUGGGGUUAAUAUUAACCAGCAAGGCUUAGUGGACAACACUCCUUACGACAGUGGGGCUCAGGAAGAGAGGAAAUUGACCACUAUAAUAGUAAUUGCUUUGGUUUCUCUCAUUUCUUUGAUGGCUGCCCUUGGGCUUCUAAUCUAGAACUAUGAUAUGGAUAACCCACAUUCAGGUAGUAGCCACGUCGGGCAAUUCUCUCUCUUUGUUUGUGUUAUUAUUAACGUGUCGAUCUCUCGAGCAGUGAUGAUUUGAAUUUAUGUUGUUGCGAAUUGGAAAAAUGAAAUCGAAGAGCCUCUCAGGCAUGCAGCAUUCUUCAAAACUGCUCUGGAUUAUUUGUGAACUUAUUAUAUAUUUAUGUACAAUAUAAAUAUUCAACAUUAUUGUUCAUAUUUUUAAUGUUUAUUGACAACACCCUAAAAAAAACUAUUUUAUGCGGACAACAGUCCCAAUUUUUCUAGAGGCCGCACAAAACAAUUUGCUACUUUUAAAAACAAAAAAAUAUGGAAUUUUUAAAUAAUAUUUUUUAAUUAUUUUUUAUGAUUUUCUCAGGAUUAUUUAAAAAAACAAUAAUAUGAAUAUAAAAAAUAAUAAAAAAUAAAGCAUUACAUAUAAAAGUGAUCUUCAAAAUACAUUUAAAAUAUAGAAAAUAAGUUAAAAAUAGUUUAGAUUCUCAAAUAGACAUUUAAUUCUUCUAUAAAAUAUUAAAGAAUAUUUUUUUAAAAAAAAAACCUGUAUUUUUAAACUACUUUAAAAAAUAUUUAUCAUAUCUUAAAUUUCCAAAUUCAUACUAAAGCUAAAACCAAGAAGAAUUAAUUCGACCAAAUCCUUGACUAACAUUUAUUAGAUCAUAACAUUUUUGAGCUCAUUGACAUGAGGAAGUUAUCUGCAAUGCAUUAGAUUCUACUAUUUGAAUCUUUUGAUUUCUAGUUCUCCCAUUUUACAUAAUCAAAAUGGCAAUAAAGACUUACUAAUUACCAUAUGGUAGUCAAGAAUUUGAGCUGAUACAUCUACAUCCUCAGUCAUUAAGAAAAUUUUGAAAUGCCAUAUGACAUAUUGUGGACUAUGCCAUGUGAUUGGGCUUUGUGCAUGCUUUUUAUUAUUUAUUUAUUCAAUUUAUUUGAAAACAAGAAUAUAUUUAUUGUUCUAUUAAAUAUUAAACAAUAAUUUUAAAAAAUUAUUCUACUACUUUAAAAAAUAGUUAUCAUACAAGUUCUUAAUUUUCCAAAUUCAUACUAAAGCUAAAACCAAGAAGAAUUAAUUCGACCAAAUCCUUGACUAACAUUUAUUAGAUCAUAACAUUUUUGAGCUCAUCAACGUGAGGAAGUUAUCUGCAAUGCAUUAGAUUCUGCUAUUUGAAUCUUUUGAUUUCUAGUUCUCCCAUUUUAGAUAAUCAAAAUGGCAAUAGAGACUCACUAAUUACUAUAUGGUAGUCAAGAAUUUGAGCUGAUACAUCUACAUCCUCGGUCAUUAAGAAAUUUUUGAAAUGCCAUAUGACAUAUUGUGGGCUUUGCCAUGUAUGUGAUUGGGCUUUGUGCAUGCUUUUUAUUAUUUAUUAUUUCAAUUUAUUUGAAAAAUUAAUCUUUAUUUGUUUAUUUGAUUUUGAGUAGUCAUUGAUUUUAAUUUUUUUUAUUUAUAGAAAAAAAAAAUAAAAAAUAAAACAUUAGGUGGUAGAGAUCUUGUAGGACCUCAAACCACUCCUUAAAAUGUCAAUGGACCACAAGUUAAGGAUAAAUUUGAGACUUAGGUGGUGUUUGUUUUUUUUACACAAUUCUAAAUAGAAUUUUAAUACUUAAUAAUGUUAAGUAUUAAAUUUUUUAUUUUUUUAAUGUUUAAUUUUUAUUAAACAUUAAAAAGUAAGGAAAAAUUAACAUCUUACUUUUUCCAUUUUGUAUUUUUUAUUUAACAAAAAGUUUAUAAUAAAUCAUGAAAAAAAAGUAAAAAAACAAACAACUUAAAGUUUAAAAGCAAAUUACUUUCAUUAAAAAGCUAAAAAAAUAAACGCUUUCUUAGGUUACCCAAUGGAAAGGUGGUAGACAUUUACUAAGCUCAAAUAUAAUGGUCUCAAUCUAUUAAGUGGAGGUAAUGUUGGUAAUUAAUUAUUUGAUUAAUGGUACGUACCAACAAGAAAAUUUACAUUAUGAACUCAUGACAUUUAACUAUUAGCCUAUGGUUUGGUUAAACUUAAGUUUUGAUAAUGACAAAAUAAGUUUGGAUUUAACGUUUAUUUUUAAGUGUGAUAAGCAAAUAGAUUUACUUAGAGCAAUCAAGAUGAAACAAUAUAAAACUACACACCUUAAUAGAGUUAAAUGAGAAAAUCAAGAGAAAGUUUUAUUUAAGAUUAAUUUUAGGUUAUAGGUAAGAUUGAGGUGCACUUAGGAUUGCAUACAUUCUUUCGUUUAAAUACCUAACAUAUCCAAACUCAUCCAAUUAAGAUAAAAUUUUUCUUAAAUCUUCUCAAAAGUUGGAUGAAAUAUCUUUCGAAUGAAAACCACAUUUAAUUAAUGUAAUUCAUAUUUAAAAGGUUUUCAAAUAUCGUUAGGAGUUUGUCUUAUCAGUUUUUCCCAAUGUUUUCAGAACCGGACCGGUGAUCGAACCGGAAAAGUUACCAGUUCACGGUUCACUGGUCGGACCGGCGGUCGAACCGCGGUCGAACCGGUGACGUCAUAAAUAUAUAAUAUAUAUAUUAUUAAAAUUAAAAAUAAUUAUAAAAAUUUUAAAAUAUAUAUGAAUAAAUUAAAAUCAAUAAUAUUUAUCAAAUUAAAUUAUAUUAAUAUUUUUAAUUUUAUUAAAUGAUAUAUGUAAAAUAUUUAAAUGUGAAUAUAUUAAAAAUAAAAAUUUAAACUAAUUUUAUAAUUUUUAAAAAUAUUAUAUUAUUUUUAUUUAAUAAUAUAAAAAAUAUAUAUUAUUUUGUUUGAUAUGUUACAUAGUUGAAGGGCCCAGCCGAGUGGUGUCCUGUGAUAGCCAUAGAAGUUGGGUCCAAGUUCAAAUCCUCUUGGAGGGAUUUGUUAUUUUUUUUUCAUUCAUUAUGUUGGUUGGCAAUCCCACAUCGGAUGGUAAGAGGAAUGAGGGUGCAAAGGAUGCCUAUAAAAGGCAUCCUCUUGGAGGGCCAAUGUAUCAUCUCAUCUGGUGGUUGGGCUCAAAAAUCGGCCCACAAGGUGGGUGGGUGAGGUGUUGGCUUUGUCAUUAUUAGACAAGGCCCAGCAUAGUUUUGCCCAAAGUAUUAUAAUUUAUAUAUAAGGGAGCCUGGUUUAAAUUGAACUGUGCGGUUCGAUUGGAACCGUCCGGUUCCACCGGGUCACCGGUCCGACCGUCGGUUUGGUCGGUUUGUUACCGGUUUAAUCUUCAAACCGAACCGGUUUGAUAGGGCGAACCGAACCGGAGAUAUGACCGACGGUUGAACCGGUUGGAUCGGCCGGUCCGGUCCGGUUUUUAAAACAUUGGUUUUUCUUUUUCCUAAUUAUUUUUUAAUAUUAAAAGCUAAGCCUUUUGAAACAAGAAAAUAUAUUACAUUUUUAUUAAGACAAUUUUAAAAGAAAACAAUUUGUGCAUUAUUGAUGAUUUUUAUGAAAAAUGAGAUGAUUUAUUUCAAGCACAAAAACCCAUAUUUUAGUAUGCAUUUUAACAUUAAAAAUAAUUUUUCAAUCUUAAGCUUUCAAUUAGAAUCAACAAAUACUUAUCAAUUUCUUAUGUUUUUUUUUUGUAUGUUUUAACCAAUAGUUGAUGAAAGUAAUUGGUUGAUGAUUGUAAAUUUAUGUUCUAAUUAAAAUGUUAAAGCUUAAAAUAUGUGAUAACUCUAGAGAAAAAUACCAAAGAUAAGAUUGCUAUAACUUGUAGUAUUUGACUUGUACUUUUUGUUCAGCAUUAAUGUGUUAUGUUAUUUUAAGUUAAAAAAAUUAAUUACUUUCUAAAACUUAAGAAAACUCUAAUUUGAAAUGAUAAAGAAAAGAAAAAGCAUGAACCAAGGUAUGUAACAAAACAAACGAAACAAAUCAAAAGCAUCCAAAGAGUUUUAUAAUCCAAUGUUGAAUCCAUCCCUAGAUAGAGCAUUAUUAAUUUAAUGUUUUAAGACUAAAGUCAACCUAAGAUUAAAUUUAAGUUUUAAGACCAAUUCACAUUUAGAACUAGAUUUUUAAGUUUGAAAAACAGACCCCUUAAGUUAGUUAAAUAUACUAGCUAAUUUAGUUUUUAGUGUAUUCAAUUAAAAGUUUAUACUUAUUUUAUAGAUUUAACUAUUAGACUUGUUAAUAAUAAGAUCGAACUAAAAUAAAUAGUGAGCAAAUUAUUCCUAAAAAUCAUUAGGUCUUUGAUAAGAAUCCUUUGUAUUUUAUAUAAGACAAACUAAUAAAGAUAAUUUUUUUCAUACUAAUUCAAAUUCACAAAUAUAGAAAGAAACGCAUUCGAAACUUUAUUGUAUUCUUGUUACUUUUCCUUUAAAUUAUUGGCCUUUAGCUUAGUAUCUUUGAAUCCCGUAAAAUUAGCUAAUCACAACCUAUGUUUGAGUGCCAAGAAAAUAAAAUAAAAAGAAUGGAAGAGAAAGUAAAAAAGUGAAAAUCUAGAACUUUAUGGAAGAAGUGUUCAAUCUCUCGUGCUUGAAUAGUAAAAUGGAGUUCCCACGAAUCCCAAGAAGGCUAAGAAUAGUAAUGAAGCUGAUAAACCGUACUUGAAAUGGUAGUUAAGGAAUGUGUAGAAUAACAUGUCCUUACCUAUCUAAUCCCAACAAGGAUCUGAAACGGAGUUAUAAAAACAGGGUCGAGACAGAGCGUGACCUAUAGAAAACAUUUCAAACCAAGAACACUAUGCGGGAUUUUGACCUUUGAUGUCAUACAUUAAACUGAAAACCUUGUAUUCGACUCUUUGUAUUUGUGAAUCAAAGAAAAGGAUCGAGGCGGCAAUAUCCAGGAACUCGAUCCUAAAAUACCGUAUUGCUGUACGGUCCCGAAUUGCUUUUGGAGGUCGUCUCUUGAGGCAUAUUAUAUGGAGAAAAGGUAAAGAUCAUCAUCAGGUUAUCCCAGACCGGUAAUCACUCCAUUUCAAAUAUUCUUGAUUUGAACCGUCCCAACUGCUCCUACUUCAGGUGCACCAACUCCCUCUACACAUGUAUAAAAUGCGCCUUCAGCUCUCAUAUGAUCUACCUUCACUAGUCACUACCUCCGCUGAUUGCCCACUAUUCCAAUGGAGAUGUUCGCCACCCACAACCACACUGCUUGUAUCAUCUUCUCUCUCCUCAUCUUCCUCUCUUCCUCUCUCCAUCUGGGAUAUGCUCUAUCUCCCGCUGGAACAAUCGAAAGAAGCACAAAACAGCAAGUGCUAGCUAGCCUCCCUCCAAGCCAUGAAACCACUCAACUGUCUGGCUCCUCGCAGUUGUUCCUCACUUCUCCAUCGGGAAGGUACGAGGCCUUCUUCCUCCGCCGCGAAACCUCAUUCGGUGCUGGAGGGUUUGGAAAUGACUUCUGCUACAUCCAAGUUCAAGAGAGCGGUCGCAGUGUGUGGGAAUCUGAAUGUGCUUCGGUGAGCAAUGUCAACACUUGCACCCUGUUGUUUUCUGAUGCAGGUCUCGAGAUAUUCGAUGGCAGCCGAUCUGCAUGGGACAACGAUGCUGACGGGGACCAUCUGCAGAGGUUGGAUUUGCUUGAUGCUGGAGACAUGCAGAUAAGAGACGAAGAAGGUGAGCUUGCAUGGAAGGCGAGCGAUAAUCCUGUUGUUAAUCAGAAUUGUGGUUCCAUUGGAGCUCCUGGACUCGCUCCUGAAACUCCACCAUUUGCUACUCCUAUUGAAGAGAAGACUCCUUUUGGACAAGACCAACAGCAACAACCUCAACUGGGCGACUCACAACAGGGCCUGGCCCAACCUCUCUCGGCCUUUAAUCAGCCUUUUUCGUCGUUGAACCAACCCUUUGGGGCUAAUAUUAACCAGCAAGGCUUAGUGGACAACACUCCUU